AUGGCGGGCCUCCUGCGAGCUCUGCGGGGCCUUCCCCUCCGCGAGGCACCCGGGUGGGCUGCGCGGGGCCGAGCGGACUGCAGCGGCCUCCUCGCAAGUGCUGGAUCCCCGCGAGCAGGGUCUCUUACAAAACGUCAGCCGGCCCUCUCCAAGAGUGAGUGGCAAAAGAAGCUGACACCAGAGCAGUUCCAUGUCACGAGAGAAAAAGGGACGGAGCCGCCUUUCAGUGGGAUCUACCUGAAUAACAAGGAACCAGGGAUGUAUCACUGUGUCUGUUGUGACGGCCCACUCUUCAGCUCUGAGAAGAAGUUCUGCUCCGGCACGGGAUGGCCUUCGUUCUCUGAGGCUCACGGGAUGUCUGGCUCUGAUGGGAGCCUCACUGGGACUGGCUCGCACAGAGGUGGUCUGUAAGCAGUGUGAAGCUCACCUCGGCCAUGUGUUCCCCGAUGGACCUGGGCCUGCUGGGCAGAGGUUCUGCAUCAACAGUGUGGCGCUCAGGUUCAAGCCAAGGAAACACUGACCACCUCCGAGAGUCCCCUUCCCUCCCUCGCCACUCCCUCACCUCCAAAUUCAAUUCUCAGAACUUAUGUGAAUGACUUUUUGUGACCCCAUGAGGUGUAGCCCGCCAGCCUCCUUGUCCAUGGAAUUCUCCAGGUAAGAAUACUGGGGUGGGUAGCCAUUCCCUUCUCCAGAUCUUCCGACCCAGGGAUCGAACCCAGAUCUCCCGCAUUGCAGGCAGAUCCUUUACUGUCUGAGCCACAGGGGAGCCCGGUGUGAACGACUGCCUGUUGUGAAUGGCAGUUUCGUUAACUACCAAACCAAGGCUAAGUUCGCCGCUGGCACCACGCAAACCACACCUUCUCUAAUUUACUGCCUGGAGUCAACUCAGCCCUGGCUCUGGCUUUGACUAGAACUUCACAAAAUGACAGAGGGACAACUAUUUCCAUUAAAUCGACUUCUGUGGGCUUUGUCUGGACUGGAGGACAUGACUCUCUAGGGAUGCUUGGAGGCAGAUGGAUAAACCAAAAAAAAAAAAAAAA